GGGGCCUUGGAACUGGCCAGCUUACUAGGGCAGAGAAGAAGCUGGGAGGUUACCCCUGGGCUCAGGGCGGAUUCCAGCAAUACUGGACGGGACAUUAGUUUUAUAGCCCUGUGACGAAUCUAGGGACAGAGUACCUGGAGCUGUUUUCUCAGACAUGCACUGGCCCAGGGCCUGCCCCUGGUUUAGCCUUGAACAGAGGAGCCAACAGAGGGGGAAGCACCCACUUCCUGCCCAGAGAGGGGCACGUUUCUGUGGGGCGAUUCUGCACUGUCCUUUUCUGCCUUGUCACAGCAUGUGGGAUCUAGUUCCCUGACCAGGGAGCAUGGAGUCUUAGCUGCUGGACCACCAGGGAGGUCCCUGCUCUCUGUGACCUUGACUGACGUUACUUGGCACCUUCCAACUUGGUGAAUCAACUUGCACGACUUGAAGGAUCUAGGUUCCCUGACCACGUAUUGAAGCGGGGCCACGGCAGUGAAAACCUGGAAUUCUAAGCACUAGGCAAGCGGGGAACUCCCCUGACCAUGGAUUUUAAUCAUACUGGCAAACUAUCUUCAAAGUACUACCCGUACUAGUGUUUGAUUGAGCAACUGGAGAUCGUAGCCUAGCGAAACUGACACAUAAAACUGACCAUCACAAGUAUGAUGGUAUUAUGGGUAUGUGCAAAAACAUCUUUGUUCUCAGAAGAUACAGCUUGAAAAAGUUAAGUUCCUCCUGGCUGGAUGCUGGCAACAUUUUCACAGCCACACUUCUGGGGACUGCCUGACUCAGGCUAGGACCUGGGUAGUGUGGGUCUCUGUGCACGCAUAGGUUUUGAGAAUAUUGCGAUCAGCCCUGCCCUGGGCCAGCUGCACUUCAGGCUUCCCUCAACAAAACUCCCAGAGGUUUCUCCCAUACUGCUGUAGCCAGCCAGGUUCUGAAGCCUCUGGUGUCCAGAAACCAGGGAUGGCAAACACAUGACCUGCAGUAAAACC
ensembl:lncRNA